GCGGCCUAUCAGCUUGUUGGUGAGGUAAUGGCUCACCAAGGCAACGACGGGUAGCCGGCCUGAGAGGGCGACCGGCCACACUGGGACUGAGACACGGCCCAGACUCCUACGGGAGGCAGCAGUGGGGAAUAUUGGGCAAUGGACGCAAGUCUGACCCAGCGACGCCGCGUGCGGGAUGAAGGCCUUCGGGUUGUAAACCGCUUUCAGCAGGGAAGAAGCGAAAGUGACGGUACCUGCAAAAGAAGCACCGGCUAACUAUGUGCCAGCAGCCGCGGUAAUACAUAGGGUGCAAGCGUUGUCCGGAAUUAUUGGGCGUAAAGAGUUUGUAGGUGGUUCGUUACGUCGGAUGUGAAAAUCUGGGGCUCAACCCCAGACCUGCAUUCGAUACGGGCGAGCUAGAGUUUGGUAGGGGAGACUGGAAUUCCU
rnacentral:rRNA from 1 species